rnacentral:rRNA from 1 species
GGGUCUACCCAUUGGUCAGGCUUAAUUGUCUGCACUGGUGAGAUGGAUCUCUACCUUCUGAGGAACUUUCAUGCCAUUUAUUUGGUGUGAUUGGAAAUCAGGACUGUUACUUUGAAAAAAUUAGAGUGUUUAAAGCAGACUAUCGUCUGAAUACAUUAGCAUGGAAUAAUGAAAUAGGACGGACUGAUUCUAUUUCGUUGGUUUCUAGGAUCACCGUA